AGUGAACGCUGGCGGUAGGCUUAACACAUGCAAGUCGAACGGCAGCACAGUAAUAGCUUGCUCUUACGGGUGGCGAGUGGCGGACGGGUGAGGAAUACAUCGGAAUCUACUUUUUCGGGGGGGUUAACGUAGGUAAACUUACGCUAAUACCGCAGACGACCUACGGUUGAAAGCAGUGGAUCUUCUGACCGUUCGCGAUUGAAUGAGCCGAUGUUGGAUUAGCUAGUUGGCGGGGUGAAGGCCCACCAAGGCGACGAUCCGUAGCUGGUCUGAGAGGAUGGUAAGCCACCCUGGAACUGAGACGCGGUCCAGACUACUACGGGAGGCAGCAGUGGGGCAUGUUAGACAAUGGGCGGGAGCAUGAUCCAGCCAUACCGAGUGGGUGAAGACAGCCUUGGGGUUGUAAAGCCCUUUUGUUGGGAAAGAACAGCAGCAGGUUGAUACCCCGCUGUUCUGACGGUAACGAAUGAAUAAGCACCGGCUAACUUCGUG
rnacentral:rRNA from 1 species